UACGUAGGGGGCGAGCGUUGUCCGGAAUCAUUGGGCGUAAAGCGCGUGUAGGCGGCUUCGCAAGUUGGAUGUGAAAUCCCACGGCUCAACCGUGGACGUGCAUCCAAAACUGCGUCGCUGGAGUAUCGGAGAGGAAGGUGGAAUGCUUGGUGUAGAGGUGAAAUUCGUAGAUAUCAAGCAGAACACCUGCGGCGAAGGCGGCCUUCUGGACGAUGACUGACGCUGAGACGCGAAAGCGUGGGGAGCAAACAGG
rnacentral:rRNA from 1 species